UGAGGGCAAGUGAGUGGUGUGGUGUGUGGGCUGUGCUGCCCCAUAGCCAAAAUACUCUAGAGACUUGAGUGGAAAGUUUACGGCCUCCACCGAAGCCACAGGUAGGAGAAGCGGGACUGGGUGUGGCAUUGUACUACAACAAGGAAAGAAGAGAGCAACCUGCCGUGUACUGGUUACCGGACAGAUUUUGCACUCUAAUCUCAAGUGUGCAAACUGGUAGGGAGCAGGGAUUCCAGAAUAAGGACUCUGAACUUAGGGACAAUAUAUACUUUUUAAGGACACGAGUUUCUGUGAAACAACUCCAGACCAGGAAGACACUUCCACUUUCAGGGUACUGGGUUUGCGGAGCAACUUUUCGCUUUGGAGGAGAGGGCGUGUGGGUGCCCUGUUAAGGCUUCCCUCCAUGGAGCUACCCAGCCCCUCACAAAACCAGGCCUGGAGCCUGGAACCUCCAGCUCCCACAGCCCCUGCCUCCUCGUCCUCCAGCUCCCAGAAGCAGAACGCUGGGAGCCCCGAGGCUUCCGGGGGGCUUCCCUUGGAGAGGGUGAAACGACCCAUGAACGCGUUCAUGGUGUGGAGCUCUGCUCAGCGCCGCCAGAUGGCGCAGCAAAACCCUAAGAUGCACAACUCGGAGAUCUCCAAGCGCCUGGGAGCGCAGUGGAAGCUGCUGGGCGAGGAUGAGAAGCGGCCCUUCGUGGAGGAGGCCAAGCGGCUGCGAGCCCGGCACCUGCGCGACUACCCCGACUACAAGUACCGGCCACGGCGUAAGACCAAGAAUGCGAGCGCUGGGCUGCCCCACUUUGACCAGGGAAGCAGCGGUGUGCCUGGCAACAGGCCAGUCUGGGGGCCUGGGUACACAACCACCCACGGGAACAGAGGCUUUGGGUACCAGCCCCCUAACUACUCAACAUCCUACCUUCCUGGAGGUUACAGCCCCCAGGGCAAGGAGGCUAAGCCCAACUCUGCCCCUUUCUGGCCGGCAGCCCCAAAAGAGGAAUACAGGCACACAGCACGCAAGUUCCCUGGUGAGCCUGUCCCAACAAGGCUGCCCUGCUCUCUAAGCCAGCCAUGAGUCUGGCUCUGUACUUGCAGUACCAGGUGGAGCCCAAAUAUCCAGGGAAUGCUCUUCCCACUGUAAACCAGAGGCCUCAGCGUGUUCCCUCCAUCAGAGUAACCCUAGGCUCCAGGGGGAGUUGCUCCCCUCCUAUAACCCCUACCUAUCCUCAGGCCCGCCCACUCCUUACAACCCUCCCC